rnacentral:rRNA from 1 species
UACAGAGGGUGCAAGCGUUGAUCGGAAUUACUGGGCGUAAAGGGCGCGUAGGUGGUUAAUUAAGUCAGAUGUGAAAUCCCCGGGCUUAACCUGGGAAUUGCAUUUGAAACUGAUUGGCUAGAGUACGGGAGAGGGAAGUGGAAUUUCCGGUGUAGCGGUGAAAUGCGUAGAUAUCGGAAGGAACACCAGUGGCGAAGGCGACUUCCUGGCCCGUUACUGACACUGAGGAGCGAAAGCGUGGGGAGCGAACAGG